rnacentral:snoRNA from 1 species
GCCCCGGGAAACCGCGGGGGAUGAGCGACAGCCCGGCAAGCUGUGAGUCCCCUUUGCUCCCCCGGGGCACA